AUACGUAGGGGGCGAGCGUUGUCCGGAAUGAUUGGGCGUAAAGGGCGCGUAGGCGGCCCGGUAAGUCUGGAGUGAAAGUCCUGUUUUUAAGAUGGGAAUUGCUUUGGAUACUGUCGGGCUUGAGUGCAGGAGCGGGAAGUGGAAUUCCCAGUGUAGCGGUGAAAUGCGUAGAGAUUGGGAGGAACACCAGUGGCGAAGGCGACUUACUGGACUGUAACUGACGCUGAGGCGCGAAAGUGUGGGGAGCAAACAGGAUUAGAUACCCUGGUAGUCCACACUGUAAACGAUGAAUGCUAGGUGUAGGGGGUAUCGACCCCUUCUGUGCCGCAGUCAGCACAAUAAGCAUUCCGCCUGGGGAGUACGGCCGCAAGGUUGAAACUCAAAUGAAUUGACGGGG
rnacentral:rRNA from 1 species